AUGUUUCGGAAAAAGCAAGCUUCUCAUUUCGAUUCAGAUGAUGCUGAGCAGAGACAAGCAAAGAUCAAGGAACUAAAAGCUGCACUUGGGCCUUUUUCUGCCCGUGGAAAGAAAUAUUGUGAUGAAGCAUGCUUGGUAAGAUAUCUCGAGGCCCGCAACUGGAAUGUUGACAAGUCUAGAAAAAUGCUGGAAGAAAGUAUCAAGUGGAGGGCCGCUAAGAGACCUGAGGAUAUUCGCUGGCCGGAUGUUUCCGUUGAAGCAGAAACGGGUAAAAUGUACAGGGCCACUUUCACAGAUAGAGAGGGGAGAACCAAUACAUCGUCUCACGAAGGGCAGUUGCAAUAUCUUGUAUAUACCUUGGAGAAUGCAGUCCUCAGCCUGCCUGAAGGUCAUGACAAAAUGGUGUGGCUGAUAGACUUCACAGGAUGGACACUGGCCCAUGCAACCCCCUUCAAGACUGCCAGAGACUGUAUGAAUGUCCUGCAAAACCAUUACCCGGAGAGGCUUUCAAUUGCGUUUCUGUUCAAUCCGCCCAAAGUAUUUGAGGCUUCUUUUAAGGUUCUCAAAGUACUGGUUGACCCGAAAUCAGCCCAGAAGCUGAACUUCGUGUACAAGGAGAAUGAAGAGAGCAUGAAGACAAUGUACAGCCACAUUGAUCCAGAAGUCCUUCCUGUGGAGUUUGGAGGGAAGAACAAUGUCGUGUACAACCAUGAGGAUUACUCUAAGUUGAUGAUAAAGGAUGACAUCAAAAGAGCAAGCUUUUGGGCAGCAGAUGUUAGCCAUGUCGUCAACGUGGACUCGGUUCCUGAGGUUAAACCGCAGUCGUCACUAAUUGUUGCUAAAGCGAGUUGA
rnacentral:rRNA from 1 species